rnacentral:rRNA from 1 species
UACGUAGGGGGCAAGCGUUGUCCGGAAUCAUUGGGCGUAAAGCGCGUGUAGGCGGCCCGGUAAGUCCGCUGUGAAAGUCGGGGGCUCAACCCUCGAAUGCCGGUGGAUACUGUCGUGCUAGAGUGCGGAAGAGGCGAGUGGAAUUCCUGGUGUAGCGGUGAAAUGCGCAGAUAUCAGGAGGAACACCAAUUGCGAAGGCAGCUCGCUGGGACGUUACUGACGCUGAGACGCGAAAGCGUGGGGAGCAAACAGG